UGCAGUCGAGCGCGUCUUCGGACGAGCGGCGGACGGCUGAGUAACACGUUGGUAGCUACCCCUCACUCAGGGAUAACCAUUGGAAACGAUGGCUAAUACCGGAUGGUCCCGAAAGGGUAAAGAUUUUUCGGUGAGGGAGGUGCCUGCGGCCUAUCAGCUAGUUGGUGAGGUAACUGCUCACCAAGGCUAUGACGGGUAACUGGUCUGAGAGGAUGAUCAGUCAGAGGGAAACUGAGACACGGUUCCCACUCCUACGGGAGGCAGCAGUAAAGAAUCUUCCACAAUGGGCGAAAGCCUGAUGGAGCGACACCGCGUGCAGGAUGACGGCCUUCGGGUUGUAAACUGCUUUUCUGGGUGAGUAAUUAUGAACGUAACCUAGGAAUAAGCACCGGCUAAUUCCGUGCCAGCAGCCGCGGUAAUACGGAAGGUGCAAACGUUACCCGGAAUCAUUGGGCGUAAAGCGUCCGCAGGCGGCGCAGUAAGUCAGUAAUUAAAUCUUGAGGCUCAACUCCAAGGCUGUUACCGAAACUGCUGUGCUAGAGGAAUGGAGAGGUAUGUGGAAUUCUAAAUGUAGGGGUAAAAUCCGUAGAUAUUUAGAGGAACACCAAAAGCGAAGGCAGCAUACUGGCCAUUUCCUGACGCUCAUGGACGAAAGCGUANGUAGCAAACGGGAUUAGAUACCCCGGCAGUCUACGCCGUAAACGAUGAUCACUCGGUGUCGGGGGUUCGANCCUUUCGGUGCCUAAGCUAACGCGAUAAGUGAUCCGCCUGGGGAGUANNNUCGCAAGAUUAAAACUCAAANNAAUAGANGGNNACCCNCACAAGCGGNGGAGCGUG
rnacentral:rRNA from 1 species